GACGGAGGGUGCAAGCGUUGUUCGGAAUCACUGGGCGUAAAGCGCGUGGAGGCGGUUUGUUAAGUCGAGUGUGAAAGCCCAAGGCUCAACCUUGGAAGUGCACUCGAAACUGUCAGGCUUGAGUGCGGGAGAGGGAAGUGGAAUUCCUGGUGUAGAGGUGAAAUUCGUAGAUAUCGGGAGGAACACCGGUGGCGAAGGCGGCUCCCUGGACCGAUACUGACGCUGAGACGCGAAAGCGUGGGGAGCAAACAGG
rnacentral:rRNA from 1 species